CUGACCACAGCCUGGGAGGGGCACAACGUCAGGAAAUGGGACAGAAAACAGCAGCGUGGGCAGCGUUUUUAACCAGCAUUUAUGCAAACAACAUGGCUACAGGACUGGCAGAACAGUCAAAGAAAGAAUCAUAAAAACUUAUGAAAACCUGGAAGAGAUGUCAGAAAAUUAGCACACCUGGACACGGAUCGGAGUUUAGAAGGAACUUCCCAGUCUGUGACAGAUAUGUCCUCACCUGUGAAUGCAAUCGGCUCUUUAAGAACUGCUGUGGAUCAACGAGGUGCUGAAGGACCUACUUUUGUUCAGAAGAACCACUCACACACAAUCAACUACGUGCUUCGUGCCAUCCAGACAGGACUGAAUAAACUUAACAGGUUGAAGAGUUAUUUGUCUGCGCCUUAUUGCAACCAGAUGGAGUGGUUAGAAGAAAAAUAUUCUGUGUACUUUAGGCUUUUAUGGUUCCCAAUACGGACAAAAUUCCCCUGGCUGACAACGGUGCUGAGGAGGACCUAUACUUUCAAACAGCUGCAACUCUGUUUUUACAGGAAGAACAUGAGCUGUGAAUGACCUCCCUGCAAUUAUCUGUGCUGAUUUGGAUACAGAGAGUAAAGAUGGAAUCAUAAAGUAACUUGCUGAACACAGAUACAGAAACGGCCCUCUGCUGAUGGUUCUACUUUAAAAGCUGAAAUCCAGCAUCGUAUUCUCCUGUGUGGUGGUGUGUAAACAACACUUUCGGAUGGCAGGGGGAAGUUCUUUGGAUAUCAGGGGUUAGUUUGUCACAGAGAGCAGUGAGGUGCUGGCACAGGCUGUCCAGAGAGGCUGUGGGUGCUCCGUCCCUGGAGGUGUUCAAGGUCAGAUUGGAUGGGGCCCUGGGCAGCCUGGUCCAGUGACAGAUCUGGAGGUUGGUGGCCCUGCCUGUAGCAGGGGGGUUGGAACUUGGUGAUCCUUGGGGUCCCUUCCAACCCAACCAUUCUGUGAUUCUAUGAUCACUUCAGAAGAAGUCAGUCGGAAAGCAGACAGGGAAGUAAGCAUCUUCGUGGAGAAGGAGGUGCUGCAUCUUUCUUCUGCACAAAGAAGCAAAGGAUCCAUCUUCUCCUGCAACAGCACUUAUCUGCAGUUUGCACAUAGUACAGCUACUAUUGUCUCCUACAUUAUCUCUUCUCUAUAAAGCAUAAUUGCACCAGAUCCUCGAGGUACUAAUCUGUGCAAUUCCAGUGACCUGCAUGGAGCUUUUG
ensembl:lncRNA